rnacentral:tRNA from 1 species
GUUUCCAAAGUGUAGUGGUCAUCAUGUCUGCUUUACAGGCAGAUAUUCCUUGGUUCAAUCCCCAGAGGAAACA